AUGGUGUUAGUAAACACGCUUUCUUGCGCCCAGCCUGGCAGGGCCUGCGGGCAGCGGGAGGGCGAGGAGCGAGCUGGCAGCUCCCACGGCUGGGCAGGCCGGGCGGGCGGGCGGGCGGGCAGACAGCGGGGCGGGCGGCCCCGCACCGCCACCGCCGAGCGGCCCGAGCGAGCAGCUGCUCCCGUCGCCAUGGAGACGGGGCUGAACAAUGAGCAGCCGGAGGCGCGGCGCGGCCGAGCGCGGGGCCCUCGCUCCCGCCCCGCCGCCCUACACCUCCGCGGCCGCGCGCACGGCCACAGGCGCGGGCACACGCACCGGCACGGACGCGCGCACACGCAGGGCACAGGCGCGCGCACACACAGGGCACAGGCGCGCGCACAUGUACCGGCACAGGUGCCCGCACACGCAGGGCACAGGCACGAGCACGGCCACAGGCACGGCCACAGGCGCGCGCACACGCACCGGCACAGGUGCCCGCACACGCAGGGCACAGGCACGCGCACAUGCACAGGCGCGCGCACACGGGCACAAGUGCACGCACACGCACUGGCACAGGUGCCCGCACACGCAGGGCACAGGCACGCGCACGGGCACAGGCACGGCCACAGGCGCGCGCACACGCACCGGCACAGGUGCCCGCACACGCAGGGCACAGGCACGAGCACGGCCACAGGCGCGCGCACACGCACCGGCACAGGUGCCCGCACACGCAGGGCACAGGCGCGCGCACGGCCACAGGUACGCGCGCACGCAGGGCACAGGUCCGGGAACAUCAGGAGCCUUCCUGGACCACCACCCAAGGACAGGCAACCUCAUCCCAAUUUCCAUCAAGUUCUUCACCUCCUCGGAGCCUGCCUUGCCUGAUCUGGAGCAGGUACCUUCACUUAAAGAUUCGGGAACUGCAGCCUGAUACCUACCCAGCAUCACAUGCAGCCACUCACGGGCUAAGCUCAGAAUCCCGGGUGUCGCCUGCACCCCACCCCGUGAGCUCGGUAGCCUCCAUGUCCUGCUCCUGUACAGUGUGCAAAGGGCUUUAAGUAGGGGCACUUGGGGGGAUCCCUGGGUGGUUCCAUAGUUUGGUGCCUGCCUUUGGCCCACGGUGUGAUCCUGGAGACCAGGGAUUUAGUCCCACGUCGGGCUCUCGACAUGGAUCCUGCUUUUCCCUCUGCCUGUGUCUCUGCCUCUCUCUCGGUGUGUGUCUUUCAUGAAUAAAUAAACAAAGUCUUAAAAAAAAAAUAAGUAG
rnacentral:lncRNA from 12 species